rnacentral:rRNA from 1 species
CACGGGGGGAGCAAGCGUUGUUCGGAAUUACUGGGCGUAAAGGGUGUCUAGGCGGUUGAGUAAGUGAGAUGUGAAAUGCCCCGGCUCACCCGGGGACCUGCAUUUCAUACUGCUUAGCUCGAGUACGGGAGAGGAUGAGGGAAUUCCUGGUGUAGCGGUGAAAUGCGCAGAUAUCAGGAGGAACACCGGUGGCGAAGGCGGGUCUCUGGGCCGAUACUGACGCUGAGGAGCGAAAGCGUGGGGAGCGAACAGG